UGUUCAGGGGUAAACCUGUGGUUCCCGAAAGUUCGAACGGGGAGAUUCAAUUGCCUCGCCGGUUAUGACCAUUUAACAGUGAUAUGUUUAUAUAUAUAUUAGAGACAUUAUAUGGCGGUUGCGGGUUUAUUCUCGUAGCUGUUUCUGUGUAGUGCUCCACUGUUUUAUGAUAUAUAGUUUAUAGCCGGAGGCGUGCACUUCUCCCCUUGUAGGACGUCGUGACCCAUUGGAUUAUGUUGUCUAAGGCUUAUAAUGGAGACCGUGACAUUAGGGCCGAAAGGCCUCAAUGAUCCGGACUUAUAAUGUCCCGACAUCUAUCCGAUGGUAUAAUUAUGAUGAUAGAUCGCUAUAAAUGCGUAUGAGCGUUCAGAUCCAUAACAAAUUCUUUAUAUGAUAUUUAAAUAGUGGAAAUCGGAUUUAAUGCCGAUUCUACACAUAUGGUAUUGAUAGUUAUGGUAUUCUCGAACCGUUCUUUAUCAUCAGUCAACGGCGUUUAUGUUUUGGGUAAUUACAGGACCCGUCUUGAAACACGGACCAAGGAGUCUAGCAUGUGCGCAAGUCAUUGGGACUUUGUGAAACCUAAAGGCGUAAUGAAAGUGAAAUAUUUGUGAAUUUUCGUAAUUCACUGAAUUUAAGGGAAGAUGGGUAACGGUUUUUAUGUUACCUCGCAUUCCCGGGGCGUCGCGUACUUAUUGCAAGUUGCGGCGCACCAAGAGCGUACACGCUGGGACCCGAAAGAUGGUGAACUAUGCCUGGUCAGGAUGAAGUCAGGGGAAACCCUGAUGGAGGUCCGUAGCGAUUCUGACGUGCAAAUCGAUCGUAUGAACUGGGUAUAGG
rnacentral:rRNA from 1 species